rnacentral:rRNA from 1 species
UGUAUAAUGGGUCAGCGACUUAUAUUCUGUAGCAAGGUUAACCGUAUAGGGGAGCCGCAGGGAAACCGAGUCUUAACUGGGCGUUAAGUUGCAGGGUAUAGACCCGAAACCCGGUGAUCUAGCCAUGGGCAGGUUGAAGGUUGGGUAACACUAACUGGAGGACCGAACCGACUAAUGUUGAAAAAUUAGCGGAUGACUUGUGGCUGGGGGUGAAAGGCCAAUCAAACCGGGAGAUAGCUGGUUCUCCCCGAAAGCUAUUUAGGUAGCGCCUCGUGAACUCAUCUUCGGGGGUAGAGCACUGUUUCGGCUAGGGGGUCAUCCCGACUUACCAACCCGAUGCAAACUACGAAUACCGAAGAAUGUUAUCACGGGAGACACACGGCGGGUGCUAACGUCCGUCGUGAAGAGGGAAACAACCCAGACCGCCAGCUAAGGUCCCAAAGUCAUGGUUAAGUGGGAAACGAUGUGGGAAGGCCCAGACAGCCAGGAUGUUGGCUUAGAAGCAGCCAUCAUUUAAAGAAAGCGUAAUAGCUCACUGGUCGAGUCGGCCUGCGCGGAAGAUGUAACGGGGCUAAACCAUGCACCGAAGCUGCGGCAGCGACACUAUGUGUUGUUGGGUAGGGGAGCGUUCUGUAAGCCGUUGAAGGUGGCCUGUGAGGGUUGCUGGAGGUAUCAGAAGUGCGAAUGCUGACAUAAGUAACGAUAAUGCGGGUGAAAAACCCGCACGCCGGAAGACCAAGGGUUCCUGUCCAACGUUAAUCGGGGCAGGGUGAGUCGACCCCUAAGGCGAGGCCGAAAGGCGUAGUCGAUGGGAAACAGGUUAAUAUUCCUGUACUCGGUGUUACUGCGAAGGGGGGACGGAGAAGGCUAUGUUGGCCGGGCGACGGUUGUCCCGGUUUAAGCAUGUAGGCG